UCUUUUUUGGACAAGUGACUUUAACACGGACUCCGGAUUUUUCAUCGCUGGGAACACCGUAAAUUCCGGCUGUAGAAUCGUUUUUCUGCGGACCGCUCAGGCUCAAAUACAGAAGUCUGGCUGCAUAGUUGCUUGUAACCGACGACCGGUUGUCGAGUGUCAACCUAUUGAAUGCUCUGAAUUUGUUUUUGAGGUGAAAUUUUAGGUCUCUGCUGCGUUAUGUCGUUGAGCAGUGGGAGAAACCUUUGGGGUUUAAUCCGGAAAUCUGGCAUAAGACACAGUGCCGAUUAUGUGAGACCAAAAUUUAAAGGUGGUCCUGCGAAACCCCAUGAAAUUGGAAAAUUCAUUCGCCAAAGUUUAUAUGAACAUGGGGAGAGAGUGGUUGGAAUUGUAGGAUUCUUUAUCGUUGUUCCUUUAGCGUUCAUAUACCUUCCAUUCUCAAAGCACAGACAGGAAAGAAAUCAGUAUAUUUUUGAGAAUUACCGCACAUCCUAUGUCUAUCCAUAUCCGAAAAGAGCAGAGGAAUGAAUGAUAUUACAUCUUUUAUUUAUUAUUUCAAGUUUGAAAAUUCAAUAAACAUAAAAUGAAGAUUGAUAA